UACCUGUAAAUGUGCACGGGUAGGCCAAUCUUUUUAAUUGCACAUUAUGAGGAAAAGAAAAUGGCUCUUAGUCCAACUGAAAAAGCAGCAAUUGUUACUGACUACCAACGUGAAGA
rnacentral:ncRNA from 1 species